UGCAUAUCAAUAAGCGGAGGAAAAGAACCACAGGGAUUGCCUCAGUAACGGCGAGUGAAGCGGCAACAGCUCAAAUUUGAAAUCUGGCUCUUUCAGGGUCCGAGUUGUAAUUUGUAGAAGAUGCUUCGGGUGUGGCUCCGGUCUAAGUUCCUUGGAACAGGACGUCAUAGAGGGUGAGAAUCCCGUAUGUGACUGGCUGCCUUCGCCCAUGUGAAGCUCUUUCGACGAGUCGAGUUGUUUGGGAAUGCAGCUCAAAAUGGGUGGUAAAUUUCAUCUAAAGCUAAAUAUUGGCCAGAGACCGAUAGCGCACAAGUAGAGUGAUCGAAAGAUGAAAAGCACUUUGGAAAGAGAGUUAAACAGUACGUGAAAUUGUUGAAAGGGAAGCGCUUGCAACCAGACUUGCACGUGGUCGAUCAUCCGAGGUUCUCCUCGGUGCACUCGAUCUCGUUCAGGCCAGCAUCGGUUUAGGUGGCGGGAUAAAGGCCUUGGGAAUGUAGCUCCUCUCGGGGAGUGUUAUAGCCCUCGGUGCAAUGCCGCCUACCUGGACCGAGGACCGCGCUUCGGCUAGGAUGCUGGCGUAAUGGUUGUAAGCGACCCGUCUUGAAACACGGACCA
rnacentral:rRNA from 1 species